UCUUACCUUUUUGGAGGUCCUGGAAAUCCUUUGUGUUCCUUAGUUUAUACAUGCGUUACUCAAAUCUCUGCUUCUGUCUUCACAUGGCUUUCUCCACUGUGUGUCUGUGUCUCUGUUUUCUCUUCUCACAAGGACACUAGGCAUUGGAUUAGGGCCCACCCUAAUCCAAUAUGACCUGAUUUUAACUUAACUAAUUACAACUGCAGAGACCCAAUUCCAAAUAAGGUGACAGGAUAUGAGGGCGAUAUGGCUGCAACAUCUGUCACUCCAUUGAUCACCAGGGUUGAUUCGGCUGAUCUGGCUGGCUAGGCAGGUGUCCUCUUCCUCCCUCACUGCUCCAUGUGCAUCCCUCCAGAAGCUGCGCACUCGGGGGAAGAAGGUGACCAUCUGGAUAGAGGAGGACCAGUCUUUGGUCAAGGAUAUACAAGUAGCUGCACUCCCCUGCUA
rnacentral:lncRNA from 1 species